UGUGUGUGAGUGAGUGUGUGUGUGUGUGUGUGUGUGUUCAUCUGUUUGUUCACAUCAGUUGUUUCUGACUCACUCAGUUCUCACAGCGCACACACACACACACACACACACACACACA
rnacentral:miRNA from 14 species